UACGGAGGGGGCUAGCGUUGUUCGGAAUUACUGGGCGUAAAGCGCGCGUAGGCGGACCUGCAAGUCGGGGGUGAAAUCCCUCGGCUCAACUGAGGAAUUGCCUUCGAUACUGUUCGGCUUGAGUCCUGGAGAGGGUAGCGGAAUUCCCGGUGUAGCGGUGAAAUGCGUAGAGACCGGGAAGAACACCAGUGGCGAAGGCGGCUACCUGGACAGGUACUGACGCUGAAGCGCGAAAGCUAGGGGAGCGAACGGG
rnacentral:rRNA from 1 species